rnacentral:rRNA from 1 species
GACGGAGGAGGCUAGCGUUGUUCGGAAUUACUGGGCGUAAAGCGCACGUAGGCGGUGACGUAAGUCGGGGGUGAAAGCCCGGGGCUUAACCCUGGAAUUGCCUUCGAGACUGCGUCGCUGGAGUAUGGAAGAGGAGAGCGGAAUUCCCAGUGUAGAGGUGAAAUUCGUAGAUAUUGGGAAGAACACCGGUGGCGAAGGCGGCUCUCUGGUCCAUUACUGACGCUGAGGUGCGAAAGCGUGGGGAGCAAAC